AACGAACGCUGGCGGCAUGCCUAACACAUGCAAGUCGAACGAGGCCUUCGGGUCUAGUGGCGCACGGGUGCGUAACGCGUGGGAACCUGCCCCUAGGUUCGGAAUAACUCCCCGAAAGGGGUGCUAAUACCGGAUAAUGUCUUCGGACCAAAGAUUUAUCGCCUUUGGAUGGGCCCGCGUUGGAUUAGCUAGUCGGUAGGGUAAAAGCCUACCAAGGCGACGAUCCAUAGCUGGUCUGAGAGGAUGAUCAGCCACACUGGGACUGAGACACGGCCCAGACUCCUACGGGAGGCAGCAGUGGGGAAUAUUGGACAAUGGGCGAAAGCCUGAUCCAGCAAUGCCGCGUGAGUGAUGAAGGCCUUAGGGUUGUAAAGCUCUUUUACACGGGAUGAUAAUGACAGUACCGGGAGAAUAAGCUCCGGCUAACUCCGUG
rnacentral:rRNA from 1 species